AAGUCGUAACAAGGUAACCGUAGGUGAACCUGCGGUUGGAUCAUUACAAAUUUCUGCAAAGAAAACUUUGGGGAGGACUAGAGGCGAUGAGUAACAUCGUUGCCGCUGGGCCCAAACCGAACCACACCCUUGUGAACCACUGACCGUAUUUUAUGGCCACCAUAUCGCGUCCCACUACGGAGGCCGCUAACUUCAGCAGCGCAUGUUUGACGCGUUGACUGUAACUUUGGGCGGUUGACCAGACUCCUCACGGAGCGAGGUCAGGACGGCGGGUGGCCACUCAAACAUUUGAAAAAACCAAUGACUUGACAUUUGACUUGAAAAUCAAUCUGAAGCUCGAAAGGGUGUUAGGAUUUAAAAAUGAGAAACAACUUUAGACAACGGAUCUCUUGGCUCUC
rnacentral:misc_RNA from 1 species